GAGACCUCGGGUCAGGCGGGGCUACCCACUGAGUUUAAGCAUAUCAAUAAGCGGAGGAAAAG
rnacentral:rRNA from 1 species